AUGAGGAAAACAUUGACUAUGUUCACCACAUGAUGAUGGAUGACAAGUGAUUGACUAUAAAUCAAAUAGUCAAUUCUAUUAGCAUAUCUCUUGAGAGAGUUGAGAAUAUUCUGCACAAUGAACUUGGCAUGGUGAAGGUUUCUGCUUAAGGGAUGCCAAGUUUC